rnacentral:rRNA from 1 species
UUAUAUUAUAUUUUAUUGUAAAUAAUUAGUAUUGGAAUUAGAAUUAUUGUUAUUGUAUUUUAAAGAUUUAAUUUUGUUAAUUAUAGUUGAUUUGUACUGUUAAGGGAUUAAUUAAUAAUUAUAUUUUGUAAGUUGAUUUAAUUUAUUGUACCUUGUGUAUCAGGGUUUAUUAAAAUGGAAAAAUAUAAGUUAUUAUUCUCGAUAUUUGAGGAGCUAAUUAAUUAAUAUAGUUAUUGUUAUAUAAUUAUUAUUAAUAUUUAAUUAGUGGUGAAAUGUUAUUCGAUUUGAAGGGUAUCUAGUUUUCUUGGAAAUAAAUUUAAUUUAUAUUUUGGUUUUAAUUAAUUGAGUGGGAGAAGUAAUUUGAAUUAAAAUAAAUAUUUAAGGGGUUUAGCUCUUGAAUAAAUUUAUAUAAUUUGUGUUGAUUAUGAAUAUGUGGAUUUAAUAUUGAUUAUCAUUUUGAGGAUGUGAAAAUUUUGACUAUGUUUUGGUGUUCUUUAUUUUAGAAUUUAUUUUUUUUACUGUGAAUAAGUGAUUUAAUUUUUUUUGUUGUUGGGAAUAUGAUGAGAUUAGUAAAUUAUAAAUUUAUAAGGUUAGUUUUGGUUGUUAAUUUUUUCUGAGGAAUUCGGCAAAAUUUAUAUUCGCUUGUUUAUCAAAAACAUCUUUUUUUGAAUUAAUUUGGAAAUAUGACCUGCCCACUGAAUAAAUAAUUUGAAGGGCCGCGGUAAUUUGACCGUGCAAAGGUAGCAUAAUCAUUAGUUUUUUAAUUGAAGGCUGGAAUGAAUGGUUGGACGAGAUAUAAACUAUCUGAGGUUAAUUGAUGGUUGAAUUUAAAUAUUAGGUAAGAAUGCUUAAAUUUUUUUGUGGGACGAGAAGACCCUAUAGAGUUUAAUAUAAUGAUUUUGUUUAAUAUUUGUUAUUUUGAGGAUUAUAUUGUUAUUAUAUUUGGUUGGGGUGAUUAUAAAAUAUGAAGAGCUUUUUUGUUUAAUAUACAUUGAUUUGUGGUUAAGUGAUCCAUUAAUAAUGAUUAAAAGUUGAAAUUACCUUAGGGAUAACAGCGUAAUUUUUUUUGAGAGUUCUUAUUGACAAGGAAGAUUGCGACCUCGAUGUUGAAUUAAGAUAAAUAUUGGGUGUAGAAGUUUAAUUAUAAUAUUAGGUCUGUUCGACCUUUAAAAUCUUACAUGAUUUGAGUUCAGACCGGCGUGAGCCAGGUUGGUUUCUAUCUAUAAUUAGUUUAAGUUUUUUAGUACGAGAGGACCAAGGAUUUGAAAUAAUUUUUGUUAUUAGUAUGAUAUUGAUGU